UUGAAAAUUAGAAACACGGAAUUUAUAUAAAGCUACAGAACAAAUCAAAGUUUGAUAGAUAGCUCUCACAGUUUCUCAUUUUCUCUCUAGUAGCUCAAAUCUCUCUCACACAAAACUUAGAAAUUUCAAAGCCAAUUUCAUAGAUUUGGGUAAUUUUGUGUGAUUCUAAGAUGCUUCAUUCACUGGUUAUUGUGGAUUUACCCAUUCCCUCAUGACUCGUUCCCUUGAAGCAAUAUUGAUCGUGUUGAUUUUUCAUAAAGCUAUCUCUCUGGUCAUCCUGCUUUGAUUGCACGCCACCGACCAUUCCCUAUCACGCAUCGAGUUGCAGAGAGGUGGUUACAUCACAUGCAACAAGCAUUGGAUGGCACCACGGAUAUUGAUGCUGACUCAAAAGUCAGAAUGACGAAUUUUUCAGGCACAUAGCAUUCUUUCUUGUAGCUGGAGAUGAGUUGAAGAGUCAGAACCAACAACCUCAAUGUUAAGCAUGGGACCAGCAACCAGACUCCAUGUAAAAAUUUUUAACAAAUAUUUCCUAAUUCAGUUGUGAGAAGCAACAAAGUUACUAUUAUUCAUCAAACCUCCUUAAUGUAAAAGGAAUACUUCCUUACACCCUUUUCUCAAUAAAUCUUAUAAUGUCUACAUUCGCUUAACUGUUUUGUUAUUAUGCAAAAUUCUAGUGUUUAUAUUUGCUUCAUGGUGGUGAGCUCAUGAAGUUGGUUCCCAUUUCCCAG